GGGAUAAGACAGGGACUUUCCGCAGCUAAAUGAGUACAGUGUCUGUUAAAUGGAAUAUACGUCUAUGCAAAUCUGUAGUAAUCAGUUCCUAUAUAUACGAAUGAGAUCAAAUCAUGAGGCCAGUGCAAUAUCAAAUGGAGGCGGUAUGCGUUCAUUUUCACGGCACGUAUUUAGCAGAAUGAAUCCACAGCACUGCCGGCGGAGUUGAAGUACGGGUCGCUGAAUGACUCACACAGCAAUGACUCCUCAUAAGCCUCAUUGGUUUAACAGGGGGAAGAAAACAAGGAAGAAAAUGAAAGAAAAAGUGAAGCUAUGAAAAGUGAUAAGAGCGAAAAAAGGCCAGUAACGACUCUGAAGUUUCGAAAUGAGUUCAGAGAACGAGCUUGUGAGGGACGACCCACUGUGAGUUCUGUGAGUUCCCGGCUGUGAGAACUGAAUUCCAAGGGUUGUGAGUUCCUCCUCAGCCCCUGGAUCUCAGUUCUUCAGCCUGGUGUUCUCUGUGUGCACCGAAAAUGGCUCUGCUCCAAUCAAGUGUCAGCACCUUCUAACCAAUCAGAAUGGCUCUGCACAGAAUCAAUCGCCAUGACCUUCUUACUGCGCUGAAUUACUCUGCACCAAUCACAGCUCACGCUGGACCAAUUCCUGUGUGAAGUGGGGAAAAAAUUGGGCUGUUAUCACUGAUCUUAUUUUUAUCAUAUGGUUUGUCAAAGAUUCCCCAAUCAGGAGAUAUUCAUCUUAAAUUGCUUGAGAAUUUAUCUAUAAAAAGGAGUUCAGGUGUGUUUUGUUUUCAAUAAAGGAAUGUUGAUGACAACAUAUAUUGUAACUGUACACUUAUAUGGUUUAAGGCAUCUGUGUUUGUGCAUUAUGAGGAAGAGUUCUCAGUGAUGUAAGUAGAAUUUUAAAUGGAGGAGUCAUGUGUUUCUCAGACUGAACCGACAUAAGGACUUUGACAAACAACAUCAUCAAUUCACCUCAAAUUAAAGAUAGAAGAUUGAUUGCUGCAGUGGGGACAUAUACACAGAUUUAAGUUGCCUUUACAAAUAAAGCCCUUAGACUUAAACACCUACAAAGCUUACAUUUUGAUACACAGGAGAAGUGCUUGAAGAUAGCAGUUUGACUAAUUUUAACCACUCUCAUUUUAAACAAGAACUGUAUAUUGCCAAUGUUGCAGUAAAAUAAUAAAAAUAUCCUGUCGAUAG